GAUGAACGCUGGCGGCGUGCCUAAUACAUGCAAGUCGAGCGAACAGAUGAGGAGCUUGCUCCUCUGACGUUAGCGGCGGACGGGUGAGUAACACGUGGAUAACCUACCUAUAAGACUGGGAUAACUACGGGAAACCGGAGCUAAUACCGGAUAAUAUAUUGAACCGCAUGGUUCAAUAGUGAAAGACGGUUUUGCUGUCACUUAUAGAUGGAUCCGCGCCGCAUUAGCUAGUUGGUAAGGUAACGGCUUACCAAGGCAACGAUGCGUAGCCGACCUGAGAGGGUGAUCGGCCACACUGGAACUGAGACACGGUCCAGACUCCUAAGGGAGGCAGCAGUAGGGAAUCUUCCGCAAUGGGCGAAAGCCUGACGGAGCAACGCCGCGUGAGUGAUGAAGGUCUUCGGAUCGUAAAACUCUGUUAUUAGGGAAGAACAAAUGUGUAAGUAACUAUGCACGUCUUGACGGUACCUAAUCAGAAAGCCACGGCUAACUACGUG
rnacentral:rRNA from 1 species